rnacentral:rRNA from 1 species
CCCAGACUCCUACGGGAGGCAGCAGUGAGGAAUAUUGGUCAAUGGCCGAGAGGCUGAACCAGCCAAGUCGCGUGAGGGAAGACGGCCCUACGGGUUGUAAACCUCUUUUGUCGGGGAGCAAAGCGAACCACGUGUGGUUCAUUGAGAGUACCCGAAGAAAAAGCAUCGGCUAACUCCGUGCCAGCAGCCACGGUAAUACGGAGGAUGCGAGCGUUAUCCGGAUUUAUUGGGUUUAAAGGGUGCGCAGGCGGAGGUGCAAGUCAGCGGUCAAAUUGCGGGGCUCAACCCCGUACUGCCGUUGAAACUGCAUCCCUUGAGUGCGCGAGAAGUAUGCGGAAUGCGUGGUGUAGCGGUGAAAUGCAUAGAUAUCACGCAGAACUCCGAUUGCGAAGGCAGCAUACCGGCGCCCGACUGACGCUGAGGCACGAAAGCGUGGGGAUCGAACAGGAUUAGAACCCGAGUA